AAACGAGACGAAGCACGCUUGGAUAGGUUGGUUAGAGGGGCGUGAACGACAGCCUUAAAAAUCAUCCAUCUGGAGUCCAUUGUCAUGUGCCAACUCAUCAAGGCACAAGUCCGUUUAAGAGGACUUUGAAGAUGUCUGUUGCCGGGGAUCUAAACAUAUUGGCCCAUCUGCUCCAGUUUUGCUUUCUCCAUCUUAUUUGUUCUGGGAAACCACAGGGUGUGUCUGCWGAUCACUACAUCCCUUAUCCAUCAAGACAUGCAAACAGUUGCACAGCAAUCUUAGAGCAGCAGAUGGGAUAAUAACUGCAGCUGUUGCUCUGCAUGAAGGCAUGCGAGAAAGCAACGACAUGGCAACACCAAGAUCUCAGACAUGUGGAGCUCUGGAUGUUUAUUUUUGGGGGAAUCAGUAGAAAGCAGGCUGAAUGCAAAUGCACUUAACACACUUUUUAGAUGUUUAUUUGGAAAUUAAAAAAACUUGAAAACGUCUCUUUUUACUGGUCUAACAAAUAAAAUCGCAAUAAAUCACAUUGAAAUGUUUGAUCAUGACGUGAUAAAAUUGUGAACAUUUAUUUGGGUAUAAACAUAGUAUUGUUUCAAAAUAAUAACUUGGUCUCACAUGUUAGUUUUAAUUCAGCUGAGGACAUAUUGAUCGAUUGUAAUACAGACCUGGCUAUUUUUAWUCCUCUGUGUUACUUUGUUUUGAAGAUUUUACAAUUAAAUUGAGAAUAUUUAAUUCUCAAUUUUAAGGGUUUGUGGCUAGAUGUAAUUGCAAACCAGACUGAGCGUUAUAUUAAAGCAGAYUGSUGCUACCCUUAUGUUAUCAGAGACAAGCGACCUUAUGAAGACCCUAACAGCACUUUACCUUUUCAAAGAAUUAAGAUGCACCUAUUUUGCUAUAAAAUACAUUACAWGCUAUGCUUUACUUGCACUCCCAGUUUUAAAUAAUCACAAUAAAAAAGACCCCACAGAAUAAUUGUGCAGCGACUGCAUUCAGGCUUCUUGAGCAUAGAUGCUGCUCAUUUGAAUGCAACACUGGCCUUUUAUGUCAUGACUUGUUACAUUCUAAUUGGAUUGACAGUGAAAAUAUUUGGUGCUGUGUUAAGUACUUCGGGAACAGGCAGCCUCCUGCAGUUUGGUUUCCGCCUCAGUCAGAACAGACCCACUAACYRCAUGUGCGGUGUGCUCUGAGAACAAGAUGCUGUCUGGGAGAAUGAGACACAGGAGAGCUGAUGCAACGCCAGAGUCAUAACAGACUGCAGAGGGUAAAAGGAAGAGCCACCGACAGCAGUGUAAGAACAAAUGAAGAUUUAAGAAAUUAGAAGUAGCAUCAUAGUGUCAUUUGGUAGAAUACAUCUAAGAUCCUUACUUUUGUAAUCUUAAGAGUUAUGGGCCAUCAAAAAUGGAUUUCUGGUGACUUAAAAUAUUGGAAGCGAAAGCUUCACAUUUUCAGAAAAUGUUCUUCCUGUUAUACAAAGUGAUGCAACUGCUGCCUUUGGCAGAAUUGUAUGCAAAACUUGUAUAUUAAUGUGAAAGCKUAAAUGUAUAACAUUAAAAUGUGUUUUUAGUGAGUCAAUUUUGAUGUGAAAAAUCUAAAACAAAAACUGACAAUGAACAAAAUCAAACACAUACUGCUCUAAAAAUGCACCUCUUCUUAUGUAUUUCUUCUCUGUUCUAUUAGAUGUUAAUGUUUUAAUUGUGAUUUUGUCCUUUGCACUGAAACUGUUUUAGCUUUUUUUUUUUUAAAGCUGUCAUAGUUUUUAUUCUAAUAAUUGCAGGACUUUUGUAGCCAAGUAGAACAAAGCCUUUUCUCCCCAAAACAUUUGAUAACUGAUUAAAACUCGACUCAUAAUACCACUCAUUGUUUUGUUUGUUUGUUGUUGUUUUUUUUUUUUUACCAUAUUUGUAUUAAACAUGAAAGUUUAGAAUUACAAUCCCAUUUUGCAAAUAUGUGUAAGUAUGUUGCGUAGUGUUGUGCUUAAAUAUUGAAAACUAAGUGUGAGGUUUCAUGGAGGACAAAUUGAAGAUAGGCUGUAAAACUAUUAAUGUCCCAUACGUAAUUUGAUGUUCCACAUUGUUCGAAGUGUAAAUAUGUAUUGAAACUGCUACUAAUCAGAAAAAUAUUGAKGUAUUUUCAAUCAGUUUAAGUUUGCAGUGCAUAGUUGGGUUGCUCUCCAUUGUUCUAUGUUACAUCCUUUUUACCUGGGCUGAAGAAACAUGUAAUGAUUUCUCUGGUCA